CAGUAGCCGCGGUAAAACGAGGGGGGCAAGCGUUGUUCGAAAUUAUUGGGCGUAAAGGGUGCGUAGGCGGUUUGAUAAGUCAUCUGUGAAAUCUCUGGGCUCAACCCAGAGUCUGCAGGCGAAACCGUCGAGCUUGAGUAUUGGAGAGGUGAGUGGAAUUUCCGGUGUAGCGGUGAAAUGCGUAGAUAUCGGAAGGAACACCUGUGGCGAAAGCGGCUCACUGGACAAUUACUGACGCUGAUGCACGAAAGCUAGGGGAGCAAACAGGAUUAGAUACCCCCGUAGUCCCUGUCUCUUAUAU
rnacentral:rRNA from 1 species